AGAGGCAGCAGUGAGGAAUAUUGGUCAAUGGUCGGGAGACUGAACCAGCCAAGCCGCGUGAGGGAGGAAGGUACAGAGUAUCGUAAACCUCUUUUGUCAGGGAACAAAGGCGGGGACGUGUCCCCGGAUGAGUGUACCUGAAGAAAAAGCAUCGGCUAACUCCGUGCC
rnacentral:rRNA from 1 species